rnacentral:lncRNA from 1 species
AGGUUUGAAAACAUACUUUCGGAUUACUAUCCUUCAUACUUUAUCUUUAUAUUAAACUUCUAAGAUUAAAAUUGAUAAUAAACUCUUAAUUGAACCUUUCACAAAGGGAAAUGGUGUAGGCUAUAUUAUAGAUUGAAAUAUUGUUCUUCCAAGGGCAAGUCUAAAGCAUUUAUUUUUGAUUAUUUAAAUAAAACAUGAA